rnacentral:rRNA from 1 species
AUUGAACGCUGGCGGCAGGCCUAACACAUGCAAGUCGAGCGAGCGGCGGACGGGUGAGUAAUGUCUGGGUAUCUGCCCGAUGGAGGGGGAUAACUACUGGAAACGGUAGCUACUACCGCAUACUAUCCGCUGUGCCCAUAUGGGAGUAGCUAGUGGGUGGGGUAAAGGCUCACCUAGGCGACGAUCCCUAGCUGGUCUGAGAGGAUGACCAGCCACACUGGAACUGAGACACGGUCCAGACUCCGACGGGAGGCAGCAGUGGGGAAUAUUGCACAAGGGGCGCAAGCCGGAUGCAGCCAUGCCGCGUGUAUGAAGAAGGCCUUAGGGUUGUAAAGUACUUUCAGCGGGGAGGCGUUACCCGCAGAAGAAGCACCGGCUAACUCCGUGCCAGCAGCCGCGGUAAUAC